AUACGGAGGAUCCGAGCGUUAUCCGGAUUUAUUGGGUUUAAAGGGAGCGUAGGUGGACAGUUAAGUCAGUUGUGAAAGUUUGCGGCUCAACCGUAAAAUUGCAGUUGAUACUGGCUGUCUUGAGUACCGUAGAGGUGGGCGGAAUUCGUGGUGGAGCGGGGAAAUGCUUAGAUAUCACGAAGAACUCCGAUUGCGAAGGCAGCUCACUGGACUGCAACUGACACUGAUGCUCGAAAGUGUGGGUAUCAAACAGGAUUAGAUACCCUGGUAGUCCACACAGUAAACGAUGAAUACUCGCUGUUUGCGAUAUACAGUAAGCGGCCAAGCGAAAGCAUUAAGUAUUCCACCUGGGGAGUACGCCGGCAACGGUGAAACUCAAAGGAAUUGACGGGG
rnacentral:rRNA from 1 species